rnacentral:rRNA from 1 species
UACGGAGGGGGCGAGCGUUUGUCCGAAGUUACUGGGCGUAAAGCGCGCGUAGGCGGGCUGGCAAGUCCGCUGUGAAAGCCUGCGGCUUAACCGCAGAGGGUCGGUGGAUACUGCCAGUCUUGAAGGUGCUAGGGAGAGAUGGAAUUACCGGUGUAGCGGUGAAAUGCGUAGAGAUCGGUAGGAACACCAGUGGCGAAGGCGGUCUCUUGGAGCACUCUUGACGCUGAGGCGCGAAAGCUGGGGGAGCGAACGGG